GUCUGGCUCAGGACGAACGCUGGCGGCGUGCCUAAUACAUGCAAGUAGAACGCUGAAGGAGGAGCUUGCUUCUCCGGAUGAGUUGCGAACGGGUGAGUAACGCGUAGGUAACCUGCCUGGUAGCGGGGGAUAACUAUUGGAAACGAUAGCUAAUACCGCAUAAGAGUAGAUGUUGCAUGACAUUUGCUUAAAAGGUGCAAUUGCAUCACUACCAGAUGGACCUGCGUUGUAUUAG
rnacentral:rRNA from 1 species